rnacentral:misc_RNA from 1 species
AUUGUUUCGAACGACAACUUUUUUCACAAAGAGUUGGCGGAUCGGUAUUGAGGGUUUUGCCAUUCACCGUGGCUCUCUCGAAAUGCAUUAGCGCAUCCAUUUGAUAGGCAAGACGGACGAAAGCUCCUCUUUCGCUCUCUCUUCCCUGCCGGGUUUUGAUAAUAUCAGGACUUCGGAGAGGUUGAGAUGGGUACGGAGCUGGACGCAACGGCUUGCUGUUUGGAGUGCUUCUGAAACCCGCCCAUGUCGAGCUUUUUUGCUCGAAAGGGAUUUACUAAUUCA